AGUGAACGCUGGCGGUAGGCCUAACACAUGCAAGUCGAACGGCAGCACAGUAAGAGCUUGCUCUUACGGGUGGCGAGUGGCGGACGGGUGAGGAAUACAUCGGAAUCUACUUUUUCGUGGGGGAUAACGUAGGGAAACUUACGCUAAUACCGCAUACGACCUACGGGUGAAAGCAGGGGAUCUUCGGACCUUGCGCGAUUGAAUGAGCCGAUGUCGGAUUAGCUAGUUGGCGGGGUAAAGGCCCACCAAGGCGACGAUCCGUAGCUGGUCUGAGAGGAUGAUCAGCCACACUGGAACGGAGACACGGUUCAGACUCCUACGGGAGGCAGCAGUGGGGAAUAUUGGACAAUGGGCGCAAGCCUGAUCCAGCCAUACCGCGUGGGUGAAGAAGGCCUUCGGGUUGUAAAGCCCUUUUGUUGGGAAAGAAAAGCAGCAGGUUAAUACCCCGCUGUUCUGACGGUACCCAAAGAAUAAGCACCGGCUAACUUCGUG
rnacentral:rRNA from 1 species